AGAGUUUGAUCCUGGCUCAGAGCGAACGCUAGCGGCACGCUUAACACAUGCAAGUCGAACGGACAAAAACUUUGGUUUUUGUUAGUGGCAAACGGGUGAGUAAUAUAUAGGAAUCUGCCCUUUUGAGAGGGAUAGCCAUGGGAAACUGUGAUUAAUACCUCAUAAGCUCGAAAGAGGAAAGGCCGCAAGGCCGCAAAAGGAGGAGCCUAUAUCAGAUUAGAUAGUUGGUGGGGUAAAGGCCUACCAAGUCAAUGAUCUGUAGCUGGUCUGAGAGGAUGAUCAGCCACACUGGGACUGAGAUACGGCCCAGACUUCUACGGAAGGCAGCAGUGAGGAAUAUUGGACAAUGGGGGAAACCCUGAUCCAGCGAUGUCGCGUGAAUGAUGAAGGCCUAUAGGUUGUAAAGUUCUUUCGUCAGUGAAGAUAAAUGACGGUAACUGAAAAAGAAGCUCCGGCUAACUCCGUGCCAGCAGCCGCGGUAAGACGGAGGGAGCAAGCGUUGCUCGGAAUAAUUGGGCGUAAAGGGUGCGUAGGUGGUUUUUUAAGUAAAGUGUUAAAGACUCGGGCUCAACCUGAGAAAUGCAUUUUAUACUGAAAAACUUGAGUACGGGAGAGGAAACAGGAAUUCCUCAAGUAGAGGUGAAAUUCGUAGAUAUGAGGAGGAACACC
rnacentral:rRNA from 1 species